AAACGGCCGCGUUAGCGUGAGCGUGCUAAGGUAGCGUAAUAAAUAGCCUCUUAAUUGGAGGCCAGUGAAAGGCAAGACUGGGGACAUCUGUACCCUGUAUAAAAAAACAACUUUUCCUCUGAGUGAAAAGACCCAGAUAACAAAGGAAGACGAAAAGACCCCGCGGAACUUUACCUUUUCCAGUCUCCACAUGCUUAGAAACACAAAAAACGAAAGGUUUGAUUGGGGCAAUCUCGGAACCACCUGAACUUCCGACUUCAUUUGUAAAACAUACAAAACUCAAUAAGGACCAAAAAGAAGUUACCCCGGGGAUAACAGCGUAAUCCAACUUGAGAGUACACAUCGAAAGCUGGGUUUGCGACCUCGAUGUUGGCUUAAGG
rnacentral:rRNA from 1 species